rfam:Sorghum bicolor cultivar BTx623 chromosome 10, whole genome shotgun sequence.
GUAGUCGGAUUCGCAUCAAUCCACAUGUGUUGGGGUGGAUUGGAGUGGAAUUUAGUUUAAGUUCCACUCCAAUCCACCCCAACACAUGUGGAUUAAGGUGAAUCCGAUA